rnacentral:rRNA from 1 species
AACGAACGCUGGCGGCAUGCCUAACACAUGCAAGUCGAACGAGACCUUCGGGUCUAGUGGCGCACGGGUGCGUAACGCGUGGGAACCUGCCCUUAGGUUCGGAAUAACUCCCCGAAAGGGGUGCUAAUACCGGAUAAUGUCUUCGGACCAAAGAUUUAUCGCCUUUGGAUGGGCCCGCGUUGGAUUAGCUAGUUGGUAGGGUAAAAGCCUACCAAGGGAACGAUCCAUAGCUGGUCUGAGAGGAUGAUCAGCCACACUGGGACUGAGGCACGGCCCAGACUCCUUGGGGGGGCGCCAGGGGGGAAUAUUGGACACUGGGCGAAAGCCUGAUCCAGAAAUGCCCGGGGGGUGAUGAAGGCCUUAGGGUUGUAAAGCUUUUUUACCCGGGAUGAAAAUGAAAUUCCCGGGAGAAUAAGCCCCGCUUAACUCCGU